CAUGCAAGUCGAGCGAACAGACAAGGAGCUUGCUCCUUUGACGUUAGCGGCGGACGGGUGAGUAACACGUGGGUAACCUACCUAUAAGACUGGGAUAACUUCGGGAAACCGGAGCUAAUACCGGAUAAUAUUUCGAACCGCAUGGUUCGAUAGUGAAAGAUGGUUUUGCUAUCACUUAUAGAUGGACCCGCGCCGUAUUAGCUAGUUGGUAAGGUAACGGCUUACCAAGGCGACGAUACGUAGCCGACCUGAGAGGGUGAUCGGCCACCUGGAACUGAGACACGGUCCAGACUCCUACGGGA
rnacentral:rRNA from 1 species